GCCUAAAAUUAAGCCUAACCAAGCCCCAUGAAACUCACAACCAACCCUUUCCUUAAUAAAACAUUUUAUCAGUCUAGUAGAGGCGAUCAAAAAACUCAUUAGCGCUUUAUCACAAGUACCGCAAGGGAAAAAUGAAAUAGUUCUGAAACAGCCCCAAAGCAAAACACAGCAGAGAUAAACACUCGUACCUUUUGCAUCAUGGUUUAGCUAGUCCCCUACAAGCAAAACGAAACAUCAGUUUGUCCCCCCGAAACUAGGCGAGCUACUUCGAAACAGCUUACAGAGCUAACCCGUCCCUGUUGCAAAAGAGUGGGAUGAUUUCCAAGUAGCGGUGAAAAGCCUACCGAGCCUAGAGAUAGCUGGUUAUUCAGAAAAAGAAUUUUAGUUCAGCCCCAAGUCCAUUUAUUACCAUAACAAAUUCCCUAGACUUAAGAGCUAGUCAAAUAAGGCACAGCUUAUUUGACAAAGGAUACAACCUACAAAAAAGGGUAAAACACCAUAUAUUAACUAAGUGGGCCUGAAAGCAGCCACCUUCGAGAUAGCGUUACAGCUCUUUUAUUCUUUACAACAAAUACCUAAAAACACUCCGAACCCUUUAUCAUUACUGAAUGAUCCUAUAUCUUUAUAGGAGCCCCAAUGCUAAAACUAGUAACAAGAAAUAGAAUUUCUCCAAAUACAAGUAUAAGCCAAAAUGGACCAACCAUUGGCAAUUAACGUUACUGAACCCAAUAUAGCAACCCACCAAGAAAAUACUAUAACUCCUAUCGUUAAUCUCACACAAGGGUAUUUCUGGAAAGAUUUAAAGAAAGGGAAGGAACUCGGCAAACUUUAACCCCGCCUGUUUACCAAAAACAUCGCCUCUUGAUCAGCUAUAAGAGGUCUAGCCUGCCCAGUGACAUAGUUUAACGGCCGCGGUACCCUGACCGUGCGAAGGUAGCAUAAUCACUUGUUCUUUAAAUAAGGACUCGUAUCAACGGCAUCACGAGGGUUACACUGUCUCCCCUCUCUAAUCAGUGAAACUGACUUCCCCGUGAAGAGGCGGGGAUACAACUACAAGACGAGAAGACCCCAUGGAGCUUUAAACCCAAUAACAGCUUCUAUCAACCACACCUUAAAAAUUAAGAGACAUUGUUUAUUGGUUUUAGGUUGGGGUGACCAUGGAGUAAAACUAAACCUCCAAGAUGAACGGUCUUAACCUAAUCUAAGAGCCACUGCUCUAAGAAUCAAAAAUUUGACAUAAAAUGAUCCGGCAACCGAUCAACGAACCAAGUUACCCUGGGGAUAACAGCGCAAUCCAUUUCAAGAGCCCCUAUCGACAAAUGGGUUUACGACCUCGAUGUUGGAUCAGGGUAUCCCAGUGGUGCA
rnacentral:rRNA from 1 species